AUGUUAGUGGUCGCUGGCAGUAGUGUGGCAUUAGUGUUCGCCCCUGCCGCAAUGCGGGGGGAUUGUUUUAAACACCAUAAAGGUUGCAAGAUAAAUUUAUUAGGAUUAUUGUAGACACCCAAAAUACUAGCAUUUAAAUGUUUUGUGUUAGGUUUUUUCGGAACAAGUUUUAUUAAUAUCGUCACUUUGGAGAUACUAGAUAUAAGGAUGUUGAGUUGAAU
rnacentral:lncRNA from 1 species